UUUAAUAAAACUAAAGAAUACAGUGUAUCAUGCUACCCGUCACAAACUCCUUUUGAAAGUUUGAAUACUCUAAAAAUCAUGGUAGAAAAAUCAUGGUAGAACACGCCAUCGAGUCCCAUCAUCGCCUUCAUCUUCCUCUUCAAAGCGUCGGAGAUCUAUGCUACCACCAAGCUAAACCAUUCACCAAAGAAUGCAAACACAUCGCCACUGCCGACAAUCAUCUCCGCAAGUGCUUUAGUUUUGAAUAUGAGAUUUUUCAUCAGAGAUCGUUUGCCUAAUAUUUUUCGUUUUGUUCAAUCAUGAUAAAUAAAAAGGAUGGGGUGCAGUGCAAGUGUUUGAUGAAAGUCCACACUGACAGACUUUACUCAGACAAUGUGACUGCUGUAUAUGGUUAAUGGUUUUGUCUAAAGCAUUCUGUGGUGUUCCUAAUGCCAAUGCCAGUAGCAGUUUCAGUGCCGUUGUCAAUGCAAGCGCUAGUGCUAGUAUUAGCUAGUUAUGGUUCCAGAGUUCGAGAAGAAGCUGUCAAGUUGACGGAGGGGGUGACAGGUCAAUGUUCUUUAAUUGGUGUCCAAACUAGCAGACUUAGCUUGAAAUCCCGUACCAUUGGCUUAAAUUUCUUGUGUUUAAUGAUUUUUAGAGUGUGUUCUUAAGAUGGUUACUUUGUUGGAGGCUUAUGCCAUGUUAAUUUUUUUGU